AGCCCACGGUGAGGGCAUCUUCUCAAUAGAUCCUUAUAUCUCUCCCAUGCAUCAUGGAGUGUUUCUAAAUCCAUCUGUACAAAAGAAGAAAUAUCAUUCCUUAGUUU
rfam:Gossypium arboreum cultivar AKA8401 contig_6567_9, whole genome shotgun sequence.